GUGCUCACUUUGGCAGCUCACAUACUAAAACUGGAGCAACGUCGAAAGAAGCGGCACAGCCCCUGUGCAAGGACGACAUGCACAUGCAUGAAGUAUUCCAUAUUUUA
ensembl:snRNA Gm56216 U6 spliceosomal RNA